GGGAUGUGGGGUUCUCUGUGUGUGUCUUCUUGUAUUUACUUUUUAGCUUGUAGAAUAGAUGUCCGCUUGUAGGACAGAUGGCGUGACCGGAUCGGUCCUUAUAAGGCAGACAAUGUGAAUGGUGGAAGAGAGAGCACAGGAAAAAUGAAGAUAAAAUAUUAUCUGAGAUAACACACCUGCGACCGAAGGGAGAGCCAGUUUGAACCCAUUUUCAGGGCAAGGCCGAAGGCGGCAGGAGAGAGUACCAGACACUCAUUGUUCGGGGAAGGCGUUUGUUACAGAAGGAUGAACUGGGUUGAACCAACGUUCAAGGGCACCAGAGGGAUUAAAACAGUGGAUUCUUCUAUCAACCAACUCGGGUGGAUAAGGAAUAUCCUAACAAUUUUGGGGGCUCGUCCGGGAUAGGAGUUUUCCUGCAGGGGGAAUUCGGUCCAAGAGCUUUCACCUGCUGAACACUGCGUACUCCCAGGCCGGCCUCAAAACAAGGUAAGCAGAAACCUGUUACUAAUUCUGCAUAUUGAUUAAUCUAAAAUAAGGAGUACGCUGUGGAUUGGUGGUGAAGGAACCAAAUUGAUACAUGAGCAAUUCGCUAAAGUUAAUAUUAAGGAAACCGGUAAAAGUGCACAACAAUAGUACCGGCGAGUACUAUUGGGUUUAGUAGGUACCGGCGAGUACCAAGGGAUCUUCUAUCCGACACAAAUUAAAGGAUCAGGGAUCCUAUUGGGUUUAGUAGGUACCGGCGAGUACUAUUGGGUUUAGUAGGUACCGGCGAGUACCAAGGGAUCUUCUAUCCGACACAAAUUAAAGGAUCAGGGAUCCUAUUGGGUUUGGUGGGUACCGGCGAGUACCAAGGGAUCAAUGAUCUGACACAAAUAAAAGGAUUUUGAAUCCUAGUCUUUGGUUUGGCAACCCCAUCAGUUCCUGACGAGGGCUGAAGUCGCUAGGUGAGUGUCCUGGGGAUUUGAGGACCCCCGAAAACUGGUCUUUGGUUUGGCAACCCCAUCAGACCCUGACGAGGGCUGAAGUCGCUAGGUGAGUGUCCUGGGGAUUUGAGGACCCCCGAAAACUGGUCUUUGGUUUGGCAACCCCAUCAGACCCUGACGAGGGCUGAAGUAGCUAGGUUGGAGUCCUGGGGAUUUGAGGACCCCCGAAUCCCAGGGUUGGAGUCCCUAGGAGUAAAAGCUCCUUAAAUCCUGGGCUGCAGUCUCUGAGCAGCUCGUGUGUGUGUGUGUGUGUGUGUGUGGGUGCAAGCAAGCAGGAGAGUGAAAAAAGAAAAAAAAAAAAAAAAGAGGGGAAACUGAGAACAUAGACGGUCCGAGAGGUUAAUAUAAACUUUCGGUGUAAUACAUUGAUGACCGAGAGGUUAACAUAAACUUUCGGUGUAAUACAUUGAUGACCGAGAGGUUAACAUAAACUUUCGGUGUAAUACAUUGAUUCUCGGAAGGUUAAGAUAAACUUCCGUUAUAAUGCAUUGAUUUCGAAGGGUUAAAAUAAACCUUCGUUACAAUAAAAGAAUUCUGGAAGUAUAACAUAAGUUCUCAGAACAAACGGGGAAGCUUGCUGGAGCUGCGGAGAACAUUUACUGUGUCACACUGAGGUGACCAGCUGUCCGAGCGGGUUAAAGCGAUAUAACUGGGAACUGUUGUUGGAAUGGAAGAUGAAUAUGAUCGGGAAACUGUUGACGGCGGCUGGGGGCCAGCGCCGGGGUAUCGAUGGAAAAUAAUAAACGACCAGCUGAGGCUGUUGUUGGUGGCGGUGGGUGGAGAAACCAGCGGGAAAAAGAAGCAUGAGGCUGUGGAGCGCACGGAACGCGCGGUGAGAAAGUUGUUAGAAAAGAAAGGCGUUAGUUUGGCAGACAGGCUGUCACUGGCGCAGAUUUUGUGGGAGAAGGAGAGAGCUUGUAGAGAAGAAAAGAAGGAGCUUGAGUCGAAACGCGAGAAGGCGAGUGUGUUGAAAAAAGGAAAACUUCGUAAAGAGAUGGAGGAUGUGGAGGACAUGAGGUCCGCAUUGUUUUCGUACUGGAUAAAAAGUAAAGCCGUGGGGAGAAAUAACCAGGAACGGUGUAAUGAGGAAAGACCACCGGCAUACGAUGUUGAAAUAAACGGUGUGAAUUCGGCUUCUGCACCUGCUGGGUUGUAUCCUGUAUUAAAUAUAACGGGGGGAGAGUUGGAAGUUGAAGAAAGUGUACCACUGCGGGGUUGUCGGGGCAACGAGGUAACGGGGGAAAGCCGGCCUUUCGAAGCGCGUCAAAAUCGGGAGGGGUUUAAAGAAUGGACGGACUCACGCACUCCGGGGAGAAGGGACAGCUCAGAAGUGCAGCGGAGAAAUAAGGCGGAUAAGGGAAAGUAUUUAGCCGGGGCGAAUGAGCGGGUGAAAACACAAUUGAGAUACGGGGAAUCACCAGACUUGGGGGAGAGAGGAAAAAAAGGCUCUGCCUCGGCUCAGGAGGAGCAAAACGGGGAAUGCGGGGAUAACAGCGACCCAGAGAUUCACGGGGAACCGGGAAAAAUGUAUCCGUUAUUCAUGUCUUCUCGAGGGGUUAAUAAAUACAAGCCGUGGUCGCUGGGAGACGUGUCCGCUCUAGUCGCGCAAAUGCCUGCACCAUCUGAAGGGGGAGAUAAGUGGCUAAAACAACUCGAUACGCUUACUAACGGACACACGCUGGCGCUCGGCGACUUUAGGGCUGUAGCAGCCAGAUGCAUGACCGCACAUGAUUUAGCGGACGUGGAAAACAGAGCGGGGGUGACCCGACAAGCCGAUGACGACAGAUUUUUGUAUUUCGCGACGGAGAUCGGGGACGCAAUGCGCGAGAAAUGGCCACUUCUAAUGUCGACUAAAAUACCGAAAUUACCAUGGGACGCGAAGAAAACCCCGCGCGCGUAUUUGGACGAAUGUAAAGAGACCUGGGUAAAAAGCACUAGCCAUCAUCCGGGAACGGAGGGCAUACAGAGAGAAUGGUUCAGACAGGCGGUGCUGGAGGGAGUACCAGAGGGGGUAAAAGCUAAAAUGAUCACUAAUCCAGACUUGCCAGGAAGUGAAUCUGCUGUGUGGGAAAGACAUUUACUGCACCAUUUACAGGACGCGACUGAGGAAGCGACAGGGGAAGAGAAGCAGCUAAAAGAAUUACAGGCUCAGCUUCUUAGGCUUCAGCUCACUAAGGUCAAACAGGAAGUGAGCGACAAGAAGCAGAAAGGGAAAGACGAGCGACAGAUGACAGUCCAGGCUGCCCCAGCUGAAGGUAACGCCCCAGAUUUGUAUCCACUCCCACCAUGGGAGGAGACGUCGUAUGGGACAGCCCAGGGGUGGGGCCCAAACCGAGGGGGCGGUUAUCGGGGAGGUUACAGAAGUAAUUACAGGGGUGGCGCUGGUCGGAGAGGAUCAUACGGUGGGGGAGGAGAAAGAGGCGGCUACCAAGGGAGAGACGCUUGUUUCAACUGUGGUAUGGAGGGGCACUGGCGCAUGGAGUGUCCUAGCAAAAAGAAGAGACAGGGGAGGGGCAGGGGUGUCCCGUCUCGGGGGGCUUGGGCCCCCAAUCCACAUGCUGCGCCACCUAGGGGACAAUACCCUGCACUGGAGGACUGGGGCCAUGAGGCGGAUGCCUCUCAGUGACACACCCCAAUGGGAGACUCCGACAGCAGGGGCAGGGCAGACCCCAUGCUGUCACUCACAGUACUGCAACAACAACUUCCAUUUCUCGUUGACACUGGGGCCACAUACUCCACCAUACAAGCAGCGGGCUCGUCUGCUAUGUCCAAAGACAGUGUCAGCGUUAUGGGAUUCUCCGGGGUGUCACAGAAACUGCCUAUAACAGUCCCCCUACCGGUGAAAGUGGGAAAUCAGACAUUGACUCACUCUUUUGUUGUCUCACCUCAAGUUCCAGUGAAUCUUAUGGGAAGGGAUCUUCUCAUCAAAACAGGGGCUUCAAUCUUGUGCGGCCCGGACGGACUGAGUGUCACAUUGCUGGAUGGAACUGUGUUGCAUUGCAAUGACAAUGGACAGACUAAUGGCCAGUGGGUGAUGCAGCCACUGCAACAACAACAGUGCGCAGACAUUUACUGGGGCCUCCUAAAGCCUGAGUGUCCUGACAUCCCGGGGGUGAUGGCUCUUUACCAAAAGUGGAAGCCUUGGAUAACUCUUCUUGAUCCGUGUCCAGAGACCACGGAAGGGAGAAGACCGACCAUCCCCACACAGCUAUCCUUCUUGAGAAACUUCCAGACUACCUCUGGUCCGAAGGCCCGACGGACAUUUUGCGGUCCAGGUGCAAGACAGAACCGGAGGGCAGAACACCCCUGAUCCCCACACAACAGCCUGGGUCCUCCUGAGGGUCAUUAAGAGGAAGUGGUCGGAGCCACGGUGGACAGGACCAUACCAGGUGGAGGAGAGAACCUCACACGCUGUGAGGCUGAGAGGGAAAGGGGACACCUGGUACCACUGGAGCCAGUGCGCCCCCGCGGACGAACCGGGUCGCACUCUUCAGGACAUCCUGACAACGCAGCAGAAAGAGACGGAACUGGGCGCUGGAUAGUGCCCGGACGUGCUCUCGGCGGGCAGUGACCGACAGACACCCAGUGCAUGGUGUUCUGUGUUGACUGUCUACAACAAAAGAAGAAGACCAGCGACGAAGAAAUGCACAAUGCUAUCCUCUCCUCUCCUCUGUUCUAUCUUUCUCAAUUCUCCGCAGUUAGUUUAGUUGAAAUAGAGAAUGUUGAGCACGCUUAAUAUUUCCAUAAUUGCUAUGGGGGGGGUAACGGUUGUUAUUGCAUUAGCUCUUAUAUACUUAGCUGUCACAGGUUCCACCUUGUUUGUUUGAGUGUUAUUACAGUGUUGAUACUAUAUAGCUUGGGUUGUUUUUGGGUAUAUCUUUCUGUGAGUUGUUUGUGUAAUCUAGUGGAAAGGAAGCGAGCCACAGUAAGCGACAGAACCAACACUUGGGGGUCCCUUCUCAAAGUCAGACACGAAAAGACAGGGCGUGGUGUAAGGUAAGAGGUUUAAAGGUCCGGGGGGAGGCCCUCCUCCAUCAGUAUCACAACAGACCGGCAUGAUGGGCAACGGCUCCAGGGGUGGAGGACUCUUUAGCGACCUUUGUGGGCAUACUCGUCACUUGCGGUUGUUGUUUUAUUCCCUGUGCCAGAGCGCUCUGUUUACGCCUUAUCUCCACAGCGAUUCAACCUGAGGGGGGGAACAUGAUGCCAUUGUUGGCCUUGAAGGGCGUAGAGGACUUAGAGGAGGAGGUCGACCCGGCAGACUUACUCCAUUAGUUAGGGUGAUCUCUGUAAGAGAUCAAAAGGGGGAAAUUGUGGGAUGUGGGGUUCUCUGUGUGUGUCUUCUUGUAUUUACUUUUUAGCUUGUAGAAUAGAUGUCCGCUUGUAGGACAGAUGGCGUGACCGGAUCGGUCCUUAUAAGGCAGACAAUGUGAAUGGUGGAAGAGAGAGCACAGGAAAAAUGAAGAUAAAAUAUUAUCUGAGAUAACACACCUGCGACCGAAGGGAGAGCCAGUUUGAACCCAUUUUCAGGGCAAGGCCGAAGGCGGCAGGAGAGAGUACCAGACACUCAUUGUUCGGGGAAGGCGUUUGUUACAGAAGGAUGAACUGGGUUGAACCAACGUUCAAGGGCACCAGAGGGAUUAAAACAGGUCAGUGCCAGAAGGCAGGCGGACUUUGGAAGGGAUUUGCUUGCGAUGCGUAUUUCAUUGUCUCCAGAUAUAUCUGCGGAGAAUUGCUCAUGUACAACUUUUUCUCUUCUAAAUAAAUGUUAAACUUUUUAA